AAACUUGAAACUGGGUUGGUAUUUCUUUGUUUUUGUUUUUGUUUUCAAAUCGGGGUCUUGUUUCGCAUCUAUAUAGAGGUGUCCUUAUGUGUUCUCCUCUCUCAGUUUAGUUGUUCAUCUCUUUCAUGCUUUGCUGUGAACGAAAGGAUAUUUCUAUGGUACGUUGCGGUGGGCAAUUUGGAUGAUAUUCAGUUGUUUUAUUUCUUCAUCGAGUCGGAGAGAAGUCCCAAGGAAGAUCCUUUACUGCUUUGGCUCAGCGGAGGUCCUGGUUGCUCUUCUUUUACUGCCAUGGUAUACAACAGUACAGGUACAUUAUUAUCUCAACUCUUUAUAUCGUACUCUCCACUUAUAUUAUAUGAUCAACAAUUCUCAUUCACAGUCUGACAACAAAUAAAAAAAUUACUCCGUAUAUUGCUGAACCGGGAAUUCCCCCUCCAGAAUUAUUUUGAAACUGUACAAAACCAUUAGUUGGAUUUUGACUGGAAGGUAGCUAUCUAUAGGUCAGUGUACAGUAACAUCAAAGAAUUAAUGGUUGUUAUCAUAUAACAAUUUGAUAACCUCAUCUGUUUUUCUUUUUUCUUUUUUGGAUUGGAACAAGACAUCGUUGAUCUUCAUCCAAACAUGCACAAAGAAUUUGUGAUCAUCCUAUAAAGGAUAUCAAAUGACUUUGCAUUUGAUAAAAAUAUUUUUGGUACGUCCAUUAAUUUUCAACUACGCAAAUUCUAGUGGGAACGAACCAACAUUUUUGUUGAAUCCAGACGCAUGGACAAAGGUAAGAUCAGAGAGAAACCUACUGCUAAUUAAUUUAUGAUUUGUCAAUAACUUAACCCCGAAUGCAUAUUGAAAAAUGUUCAGAUUGCCAACGUAAUAUUUUUGGAUCAACCUGUUGGUACUGGAUAUUCCUAUGCAAAAAGUUGGGAAGAAUACCGGGCUGGUGAUACAUUGUCAUGUACUCAGACCUAUGAAUUUCUAAGGAAGGUGAAAAUUUGGCAUAGUAUUGACUAUCAUCGAAAUCUCACCAAGAAAAACCUUAGAGCACUGGUUUACAGGUACACUGAUUAAUAUUCUUAAUUUUCUCCAUUUCCAAAUUUUGUCUAUCCAUAAAAAAUCCACUACCGUUUGUGUGAAAAAAACCGAUGAAUUCAGUA